rnacentral:rRNA from 2 species
UGCUACUUUGCUGACGAGCGGCGGACGGGUGAGUAAUGCUUGGGAACAUGCCUUGAGGUGGGGGACAACAGUUGGAAACGACUGCUAAUACCGCAUAAUGUCUACGGACCAAAGGGGGCUUCGGCUCUCGCCUUUAGAUUGGCCCAAGUGGGAUUAGCUAGUUGGUGAGGUAAUGGCUCACCAAGGCGACGAUCCCUAGCUGGUUUGAGAGGAUGAUCAGCCACACUGGGACUGAGACACGGCCCAGACUCCUACGGGAGGCAGCAGUGGGGAAUAUUGCACAAUGGGCGCAAGCCUGAUGCAGCCAUGCCGCGUGUGUGAAGAAGGCCUUCGGGUUGUAAAGCACUUUCAGUCAGGAGGAAAGGUUAGUAGUUAAUACCUGCUAGCUGUGACGUUACUGACAGAAGAAGCACCGGCUAACUCCGUGCCAGCAGCCGCGGUAAUACGGAGGGUGCGAGCGUUAAUCGGAAUUACUGGGCGUAAAGCGUACGCAGGCGGUUUGUUAAGCGAGAUGUGAAAGCCCCGGGCUCAACCUGGGAACUGCAUUUCGAACUGGCAAACUAGAGUGUGAUAGAGGGUGGUAGAAUUUCAGGUGUAGCGGUGAAAUGCGUAGAGAUCUGAAGGAAUACCGAUGGCGAAGGCAGCCACCUGGGUCAACACUGACGCUCAUGUACGAAAGCGUGGGGAGCAAACGGGAUUAGAUACCCCGGUAGUCCACGCCGUAAACGAUGUCUACUAGAAGCUCGGAGCCUCGGUUCUGUUUUUCAAAGCUAACGCAUUA